rnacentral:rRNA from 1 species
AAUCAACGCUGGCGGCGUGCCUAACACAUGCAAGUCGAACGCGAAAGCCCCGCAAGGGGGCAAGUAGAGUGGCAAACGGGUGAGUAACACGUGGGUGACCUGCCUCAGAGUGGGGGAUAACGACCCGAAAGGGUCGCUAAUACCGCAUAACAUCCUGCGUUUGGAUACGCGGUGAUCAAAGCCGGGGAUUCGCAAGAACCUGGCGCUUGGAGAGGGGGCCCGCGGCCGAUUAGCUAGUUGGGAGGUAACGGCUCACCAAGGCUACGAUCGGUAUCCGGCCUGAGAGGGCGGACGGACACACUGGGACUGAGACACGGCCCAGACUCCUACGGGAGGCAGCAGUGGGGAAUUGUUCGCAAUGGGCGCAAGCCUGACGACGCAACGCCGCGUGGAGGACGAAGAUUUUCGGAUCGUAAACUCCUUUCGAUCGGGAAGAACAG